rnacentral:rRNA from 1 species
UACGAAGGGUGCAAACGUUGCUCGGAAUUACUGGGCGUAAAGCGCACGUAGGCGGCUUUGUAAGUUAGAGGUGAAAGCCCGGGGCUCAACUCCGGAACUGCCUUUAAGACUGCAUCGCUUGAAUCCAGGAGAGGUGAGUGGAAUUCCGAGUGUAGAGGUGAAAUUCGUAGAUAUUCGGAAGAACACCAGUGGCGAAGGCGGCUCACUGGACUGGUAUUGACGCUGAGGUGCGAAAGCGUGGGGAGCAAACAGG